CUGCUGUGAAUGGAGCCGUACCUGCUUCCAUCAGCCAGGAAGAAAGACGAAUUAUCAGGAGCCUGUAUCUGCCUCCAGCUGAAGGAAAGAAAAUGCUCCUGGAGGGGGCGGAAGAGCAUGGUGGCGUCUUAGGAGUCCAGGAAAGGUCACGGCUCUGUUGGGCUGAGCACAGGACAGACUGAUAACUCCUGUGCGGAGAGCUGUGGUCAGAGUGGUUGGAAGAUCCUUGCCACCUCAUCUGGAGCAGAGGACUCAGAAAUAAACUCAUCAUCAAGAUGAUUUGUCAAACUGAGCUGCCAGUGGACACAAUGUGGACCAGAGACCACCCACCUCGUCCCAGCCGCCCAUCCCGCUCUGGAUGCCAGGGCUGAGGAGCCCUCUUAGUCACUGAAGCAGUUCAGGCACUCUCAAGCAGCUGGCUGGAGAUGCUGUUUCGCCUCCCCUUGGGCUGUUCCCCAUCACAACCCAGACAUCUCUAUCUGCCUCCUUUAGCGAUGUGGGAGAAAGUCCAGGGAGCAGCACAAGACUCCUUGUGGACAACAGGGGCUGCGGUCGUCUUUGGACUGCAAA